rnacentral:rRNA from 1 species
UACGGGGGGGGCAAGCGUUGUUCGGAAUUACUGGGCGUAAAGGGCUCGUAGGCGGCCAACUAAGUCAGACGUGAAAUCCCCCGGCUUAACCUGGGAACUGCGUCUGAUACUGGGAGGCUUGAGUAUGGGAGAGGGAUGUAGAAUUCCAGGUGUAGCGGUGAAAUGCGUAGAUAUCAGGAGGAACACCGAUGGCGAAGGCAGGUCUCUGGGCCACUACUGACGCUGAGAAGCGAAAGCAUGGGGAGCGAACAGG